rnacentral:rRNA from 1 species
UACGUAGGGUGCAAGCGUUGUCCGGAAUUAUUGGGCGUAAAGAGCUCGUAGGCGGUUUGUCGCGUCUGCUGUGAAAACUCAGGGCUUAACUCUGAGCUUGCAGUGGGUACGGGCAGACUAGAGUGCGGUAGGGGAGACUGGAAUUCCUGGUGUAGCGGUGAAAUGCGCAGAUAUCGGGAGGAACACCGGUGGCGAAGGCGGUUCUCUGGGCCUUACCUGACGCUGAGGAGCGAAAGCGUGGGGAGCGAACAGG